UCUCUUUUUCGAUUUGAGGCUGGAGGUCCGUCUGGAUCUGUCCAUGGCGACUCCCGCAGCGACGGCACCGGCGUUGGCCUCUGGGAGUAGGAUUCUCUGGACGAUUUUUUCAUAUGAAAUCGCUGGCAGAGGCGUACGAAUUCUACAAUUUGUAUUCAUGGGAGGUGAGCAGGCAGAAUGUCAACGGGACCAAAUGCAUGUAGGAGAUCGUGUGCGGCUGCGCCGGUAAACCAAAGAGGAAGAACAGUUAAUCGUUGAGGAACAAUUGCGUCGCCAUGAUUUGUCUACACCGGACAGAUGAUGUGGGGUGGUAUAUACGCCUCGGAAAAUCAUGCUUCUCACAAUCAUGAUCUGCUUAGGCUGGCCAUAGUGGGGUAACAUACAUUUGGAACUAGCAAACAUGCUUAUGUGACACACAAUUAAAAAAGAGAGGAAGGAUUAGAGUAACAUAAGUAGAUACCGUAUCUCUACUCCUAAUGGAGCAGUUGAUAGUCUCCGUCGGUCAAUUUUCGUCCCACCACUUUCGUCCGAUUUUUUUUCGUCGGUUAACCUUCGUAGAUUUUUUUGGUUCCGUCCACCACCUCCCCUCCGCUGGUUUUAGCGUCGCGACAGAACCAAUCGCUAGCCCUACCUCCUCUCCCGUCUCCAGUCGCAGCCGCCGCUGCCGCCGCACCCCAAUCCAACCCCGCCGCCGGCGAUCUCCUCGCCCCCCUGUGCCGUCGCCCCCAACCUUCUAUUCCUCUCCCAAGGGAAGGGAAGGGAAGGCAAGGCAAGGGAAGGGAGAGGGAGCGCCCAGAUCCACGGCGGCAUCAGCGCGCCGUCCUCGACCUGAUCCGCGUCCGUCCACGGAUGGGAGCUAAUCGGCGCAGGAAAUCCCCGUCCCCGCGUCCGAGCCCCGCCACCCUCCGGAACGGCUCGACCGCCCAUAGACGCGCUGCCCCCGCGGCGCCCGACUAGUUCGGCUCUCGCGGCUGGUGGACGCGCCCUUGCUGUUGCCGACGCCGGCUCGCUGCGCCGCACUGGCCCUCACAAGCGUCUUCUGUCAAUGAUGGACUUGAGAGGUCAAGGAGUUUCCAUUGGGACAUCGGGACAUGCUCCUCCAUCUCCUCCGGUGGACGACAUCCAACAUCGCCAGUUCAUGCACUUAUGGACUGAAGAAAAAAAAUGGAAAUGAAGAAGAAAAGAAUAGCAAUAUUAUCAUAUGGGAGGUUUGCUUUUAACCUUGGUUCCUAACCAAUAUUUGCUAAAUAAUUCUGCCGAGAGAUUCACACUGUCAUUCAUAUUAUGAAUAUAGUUCAUAACCAGUAUUCUCUUUUAUCUAAUUAUAUGUACAGAAAGGAGUAAUCUGAAGUGAAUUCAUGCUAUGUUAACAGUCUAACAAACAUCUUGGAGGUGUGAAUGCUUUCUUGGGUCUGACAAGUAAUCAAUAAUUGAUGGUAGGGAUUUUUCUCAUACUUCUAGCACUUCCUCAUUGACAAUAAAGCAAGUAGUAUCACAACAAAGGCUAUCCAGGUAUUUUUUUUUCAACUAUAAUCCUUCCAGCUUUAGGGACUGCUCAAUUGGAUCUGCACAAUCCAACAAAAUAAAUGUGCAUAGUGUCUGCGACACUUUCAUCCGAUCAUCACGAAGAUAGUUGUAGGAGUAAAAAAGUAUGUCAUACUGUUUUUUCAGUUCAAGCCAAAAGGCUAGGACAGGUAAUACUUGUUUUUACAGUACUUGUGCAAAAAGUAUGUCAUACUGUUUGCUCUAGAUGAUUUUGAUGAAUUUUACAACCUUAUUUUCAGUUGUUUACCCCAAGAAAUGGUCUGCUUUCAUGGGGUUUAUUGAAUCCAGGAAAGAACUGUGAGUAGUAGCGAACCAGACAUGAAAAGUUUCAGAGAACUACGAAAACUCCGGUCAGUUUUGUCGGGAUCUUGUGACACAGUUCCAGGACUCUAUUGACUAAGGAAAUGAUAUAUAUGUGUGAUUUAUCCUGUUAAAACUUUUAGUGUUCACUUAGGGGUGAGUGCAACCAGUAACUGAAUUUAGACUACGAACUAGAGUAUGACAGUAAAGUCAGGAGCAUGAUGGAGAACACACGGGACAUUGAGGACUAAUGGUCAACACUUAAAUCUUGCUUUACAUACAGUUCAGUUCCAAGUAGUCUGAUACAUAGAUGGCGAGGGGAGUGCUGAUUUGGGGUUGAUUUUGGUAAUUAUAUAUUUUCCUUGAUGACUAUCAUUUUGUUGUCCUACAUGUGCUAUAUGAUAUGCAUAACAACUUGAGAGCACCUUUGCUUCUCUUGAUGUGCUUCGUCAUACAGUUUUUUAAAGUGCACAAGCAAGCUUGCGAGUGAUGACAACUACUAUGACCUACAACCUUGAAUCUAGGUUUUUGGGGUUGAACAUAGGGGCACAGCGCGCUCUCCCAUCUAACCAGUGAAGCGUAAUGAAGGAAAAGCUACAAUAUACAAAUCGUCACCGUCAUUCAGUUUGUCCAAAACUGAGAAAAGCUCUUUAAAAAACUGGGAAAAGCUCACGUGAUGGAAUGAGAUGAGAUUUCAACAUCAUGAUUGCGUUUUAUAAUUUGAACGACCAAAGUAGAUGGUCCCGUCAGCCCGUGUUUGACAAUAUGAAGGGACAAACUUGUUGAUCCAUUAUUUUGCCAGGAAAAUACAAUAAUUCGGAGGGCUUAAAUAUGGAUAAUAGAUCUGACAUAAUCUAGCAAGGUGAGUGACUCAAUUGCACAUGUGCAAAAUGGAAGUUUAAACUUCCUUGAAUCUCUUGUAGGGUUUGGGGGAGAUUGUCAGCGAGCCACUGAUGAAAGUCCUUUUGCGAUGACAAUGCUAGAGAAGAUUUGAAAGAUCUUGGUUGGCGUGGGGCAACUUGUGUAUUCCUGUAUGGGGGCGCCGUCCGGUGGCAGUGGGGUGUGGCAGUUGCCGCAGCUGGGCACAACCGGGAGUCCACCUAUCCAGAACACCCAACUAUUUCAUCCGGUGAACUGCGAAGAGCUUCUGUGUGCGUCUCCGUUAUAUUUAACUACGACAGGCUUAUGUUAUCUUAUCGCGAACUCAUUUUUCAGUUUGUGCCCAACGUGACUGCAUGUAAAUAUGUAAUACAGCAAUUUUGUUCUUCCUUUUUGUUGUUCGAUUGACUCAGUAUACCAUCUCAAAUGUCAUUCCCUUUAUAGCUAGCACAUCAUCUCCAAAGAAUUUAUUUAAGUUGAAAUCCAGUAAUUAUAUGUUGAUCGCAUAAGCAGGCUGAUGGUGUCUUGGUCGAAUUUUUUAUUCCUUCUCUAUGGAACUAAAACUGUUCUUUCCUGAAUAUAUUGGAUCGCAAAGAACUAAACCUAUGUACAAUGUCUUUGGGCAUAUUCUGAAUUUGCAGAAUUAGCACAAAUCUGAAAGCAUAUAUGCAGCUCCCAGAUGUUGCAGGCUAGAGGAAGGGCAGGCACUCAUGCGAUACCAUGUAUCUGGUUGGACGCGCCGGGUGUGGGGACACUGCAGGACAUGUUUGAUUAUCAUGUCAGUGAAUUCUGGCGAGAAUGAACCAAGUGAGCUUUUGUAGCUGGUCUAUUCAAAAUGGAUGAACGGACCAGUUAGUGUACAUAUAAGUUUGCACUCUGUCUUCCUGCUCAUUCGUGCAAUGUGUUCAUGGGAGACUUAUUUUAGGAAAACAUAAAAUAAUUUUUCUUUCUAUGUGUACUACUCCAGCUUUCAAGUGCCAGGCUUCAAUAAAUCUGAAAUUUCUAUCGCUCGAUUUGCAGUGUUUAUUUUACGGUUACCACUGGGAAAUGCUUCCUUUUAAUCA